rnacentral:rRNA from 1 species
AAGUAACAAAUGCCCUGCUUCCAGGAAAAGCCUCUAAGCAUCAGGUAACAUCAAAUCGUACCCCAAACCGACACAGGUGGUCAGGUAGAGAAUACCAAGGCGCUUGAGAGAACUCGGGUGAAGGAACUAGGCAAAAUGGUGCCGUAACUUCGGGAGAAGGCACGCUGGUGUGUAGGUGAAGUCCCUGCGGAUGGAGCUGAGACCAGUCGAAGAUACCAGCUGGCUGCAACUGUUUAUUAAAAACACAGCACUGUGCAAACACGAAAGUGGACGUAUACGGUGUGACGCCUGCCCGGUGCCGGAAGGUUAAUUGAUGGGGUUAUCCGUAAGGAGAAGCUCUUGAUCGAAGCCCCGGUAAACGGCGGCCGUAACUAUAACGGUCCUAAGGUAGCGAAAUUCCUUGUCGGGUAAGUUCCGACCUGCACGAAUGGCGUAAUGAUGGCCAGGCUGUCUCCACCCGAGACUCAGUGAAAUUGAACUCGCUGUGAAGAUGCAGUGUACCCGCGGCAAGACGGAAAGACCCCGUGAACCUUUACUAUAGCUUGACACUGAACAUUGAGCCUUGAUGUGUAGGAUAGGUGGGAGGCUUUGAAGCGUGGACGCCAGUCUGCGUGGAGCCAACCUUGAAAUACCACCCUUUAAUGUUUGAUGUUCUAACGUUGGCCCCUUACCGGGGUUGCGGACAGUGUCUGGUGGGUAGUUUGACUGGGGCGGUCUCCUCCCAAAGCGUAACGGAGGAGCACGAAGGUUAGCUAAUCCUGGUCGGACAUCAGGAGGUUAGUGCAAUGGCAUAAGCUAGCUUGACUGCGAGCGUGACGGCGCGAGCAGGUGCGAAAGCAGGUCAUAGUGAUCCGGUGGUUCUGAAUGGAAGGGCCAUCGCUCAACGGAUAAAAGGUACUCCGGGGAUAACAGGCUGAUACCGCCCAAGAGUUCAUAUCGACGGCGGUGUUUGGCACCUCGAUGUCGGCUCAUCACAUCCUGGGGCUGAAGUAGGUCCCAAGGGUAUGGCUGUUCGCCAUUUAAAGUGGUACGCGAGCUGGGUUUAGAACGUCGUGAGACAGUUCGGUCCCUAUCUGCCGUGGGCGCUGGAGAAUUGAGGGGGGCUGCUCCUAGUACGAGAGGACCGGAGUGGACGCAUCACUGGUGUUCGGGUUGUCAUGCCAAUGGCACUGCCCGGUAGCUAAAUGCGGAAGAGAUAAGUGCUGAAAGCAUCUAAGCACGAAACUUGCCCCGAGAUGAGUUCUCCCUGAGACUUUAAGUCUCCUGAAGGAACGUUGAAGACGACGACGUUGAUAGGCCGGGUGUGUAAGCGCAGCGAUGCGUUGAGCUAACCGGUACUAAUGAACCGUGAGGCUUAACC